UACGGAGGAGGCAAGCGUUAUCCGGAAUUAUUGGGCGUAAAGCGUCCGCAGGUGGCUAUUCAAGUCUGCGGUCAAAAGACUGGGGCUUAACCCCUGGAAAAGGCCGUGGAAAACUGAAAAGAGCUAGAGUGCAGUAGGGGUAGAGGGGAAAAUUCCCCGGGUGUAGCGGGUGAAAAUGCGUAGAUAUCGAGAAAGAAACACCCAAAUAGCGAAAGCACUCUGCUGGGCCCGAAACUGACAUUUAGAGACGAAAGCUAGGGAGCAAAGGGAG
rnacentral:rRNA from 1 species